rnacentral:rRNA from 1 species
AUUGAACGCUGGCGGCAUGCUUUACACAUGCAAGUCGAACGGGCUUGGGGGCUUGCUCCCAAGUUAGUGGCGAACGGGUGAGUAAUACAUCGGAACGUACCGUGUAGUGGGGGAUAACGUAGCGAAAGUUACGCUAAUACCGCAUACGAUCUACGGAUGAAAGCAGGGGACCUUCGGGCCUUGUGCUAUACGAGCGGCCGAUGUCUGAUUAGCUGGUUGGUGAGGUAAAGGCUCACCAAGGCGACGAUCAGUAGCGGGUCUGAGAGGAUGAUCCGCCACACUGGGACUGAGACACGGCCCAGACUCCUACGGGAGGCAGCAGUGGGGAAUUUUGGACAAUGGGCGAAAGCCUGAUCCAGCCAUGCCGCGUGUCUGAAGAAGGCCU